rnacentral:antisense_RNA from 1 species
CUUGAUCGCCCCGAGCCACAGCGGCUCGUCGCGGUCCUGCCCGUAGGUCGCCAGCAGCGCCUGGGCCUC